UACACUCCUACGGGAGGCAGCAGUGGGGAAUAUUGCACAAUGGGCGCAAGCCUGAUGCAGCCAUGCCGCGUGUAUGAAGAAGGCCUUCGGGUUGUAAAGUACUUUCAGCGGGGAGGAAGGCAAUACGGUUAAUAACCGUGUUGAUUGACGUUACCCGCAGAAGAAGCACCGGCUAACUCCGUGCCAGCAGCCGCGGUAAUACGGAGGGUGCAAGCGUUAAUCGGAAUUACUGGGCGUAAAGCGCACGCAGGCGGUCUGUCAAGUCGGAUGUGGAAUCCCCGGGCUCAACCUGGGAACUGCAUUCGAAACUGGCAGGCUUGAGUCUUGUAGAGGGGGGUAGAAUUCCAGGUGUAGCGGUGAAAUGCGUAGAGAUCUGGAGGAAUACCGGUGGCGAAGGCGGCCCCCUGGACAAAGACUGACGCUCAGGUGCGAAAGCGUGGGGAGCAAACAGGAUUAGAAACCCUUGUAGUCCCAUGAU
rnacentral:rRNA from 1 species